CUGUUGACUCGCUGCUCAUCAUUUAUUGAAUGAGAAUCCAUUAGACACGGCACACAAGUUUGACUGAAUGAGUGAAGAUGGAGUUCUCACCAAAUGGUCUGUAGAUCUGGUUCUGGAUCAGUCCAGAAAAGCUGGUUAAUCCCGCUGGAUUCUUCAGGAAGGCCGUGGAGGGAGGAUCUUCAGCCAGAAGUAGAAGUGAUAGUGGUUCCCUCACAAGGAACCUGCUGAGUUGCUCAGUUGUGCUGCGUUGUGACUGCAGGCAGGAUUACUGACAUUUUUACUUUGAUUUGUGAAUGAUCCAAGAGGGGGAAACAAAUACAACCAGUAAGGACAUUUCUAAAAUAAAUAUUGUGAACAUUUUGGUUACACUUGGUUAGUUUAUUUACGUAAAAUUGCUUUAAACAACGUUCAGCGGUCAGGUUUACCGUUCUAAACCAUGUAAACCGGAAGCGACUCUGCACAUAACUGGCGAUGAAUGACAUCACAUGAAAAGGGUCUAUUGAAAAAAAAAAAAGAAAAGUUAACAUACACGGCAAUGAAAAAUGGCGCAUUAGCUCGUUUAGAGCAGCUAAUAUAAAAAGAAAA